rnacentral:snoRNA from 1 species
UGGGUAGCGAUGAUUAUAAAGUAAUUCCUCGUACUGAAUGCUGUUGCCACGGCAUGACAGACCAUUUUUACACCCAUAGAAUAUGAGCUCU